AGAACCCAGAGGACAUGCCAAGAGAAAUCUAAGCCACAUUGGAAGGCCACACAUAGUUACUCCAGUCAACAGGCUCAGCUGAACUCCCAGCAUCAGCAGCCAGCAUAAACUGCCAGCCAUGUGGCAAGUCAUUUUGGAAGUCCAGACCAGUUGAACCUUUAGAUCAUUCUAGCCCCAGCUGCUAUCUGACUCCAACUACAUGAAACACCCAGUUAAGGAAGGCAGCCCGUGAAGUGAUCUACUUGCAGAGUCUCGAAUGUGAAGCAGGAGAGAAUCAAAUUCCCACCACCCAAGCAUUCAUCAUCAAAUUCUUGGUCAUCAAGAGAUGGGCACAUUCGUCUCUCCUCGCCUUUCCUCCCUCUAUCUUUCUUCUCCCCACAAGCCCCAUGAUUGAAAAGGAAGUGGAAGCUAAGAGAAGUGGAGUCUACCCAACAUUCAGCACAUCUGUCCCCAAGCCCAAGUUCAGCAAGGUGAAGAACUGGAAAUUCCAUGGUAUGAAGACAGACAAAGGAAGAGAUUCAGUAUCAGGUCACUGGGAUAGGAGGUUUGCCAAAAGAGGAUGGAGCAAAGGAAAGAGCAAACUCAUAGUGAGGAGACAAAGGCAGGGGAGAGGGACAAGCAGAAAACAGCCAGACCUAAACUCUCACGGAAAAAGGCCUUCAACAGUCAAGAUGCCAUGAGCAAAUUCUAGCAUUAGGACCCUUUCUUUCCUAUUACUUGGAGUGUAUCUUGAAGAGAUUGAGGCCUUUAAGAAAAAAAAAGAACUGCGGUUGUGACUAGUUGGCAGCGGCCACAUUGUGGC
rnacentral:lncRNA from 1 species